ACACCCUGCUCUCUUGCAGUCUCUCCUAACACCAGCUUGUGCGUCCUAGAGACGGAACCCCUGCCACCGGCCUCUGCUAGCCCCUGGUCUGGCAGGGUAUACCCGAUGACAACCUGAAGGAAGCAGGUUACCAUUACAUCAUGAACCUCUGCUGUGAAAGAGUCCUACCUGGAAGAGCGACUUUCCAAACACAAACACAUACUGGGAAUCCCUCCUACAAAUGCUUUGAAACAAGUGUCAUUUGGAGUUCUGCUGCCUAAAUUCUGUGCUGGGGCCUCAAAUAAAUACACGUGUAGUCUUUCCUUCUGUGUGAAGAAGCAGCCACACCUCCAACAGAAUAGAAUGGAAAUCUCUAACUAUUUCAAGUUUUAUCUUGAAAUCUGGCCUGGAACUAUGUCGACAAGGCUGGCCUUGAACUCACCGAGAUCCAUCUGUGUCUGUCUACCAAGUGCUGGGAUUAAAGGCACGUGCCUCCUUGCCUGGUCUUCAAGUUUUAUCUUUCUGUAUAUGAAAAUAAAUGAUAAUAAUAAAGGAAUUUAUC